GGUCGGGAGGGAGAAGUCGGGGUCGAGUGAUGAGCCACCAAGAGGCCUGAGCAAAGUCCAUGGGCACCUGGGGGCAGAGAUGCCAUCUGUGGUCUGGAGAAGCAGGGAGCCUUCUGGAGGAGCUAGCCUUGGGUACAGUUGCGGAGCAGCCGACCAGCCGCGCUCUGGAGCCCCGCCCCAGCAGUCAGGGGGCCUGAAGGACACGGGUCCCUCCCUCACCUGGGCUCCUGCAGCCCCGCCCACCGGCUCAUCUGGCUCCUCCCUGCUGCUCACAAGGCUCGGGCUCACCUGCUCUUACCAAACUCCCCCGGGGCAGCGGCACCUGGUGCCCCAGGACGCGUCCUCCGGGCCACCGUCAACAGGAGCGAUGGGCAGCUGCCAUCUCAGCAAUAGCCCCAGGGACGCUUCCUCGGCGGCCUGCAGGGGGGCCGCGAGCAUGUGCCAGCCGGAGCCUAAGACCCUAACGCGCUUACUCCACUUCAUCCUCACGACAACCCCGGGGCGCUGACGGGUUCCCCACUUGAAGUAAGGGGAGCUGGGGAGAAUUUCUCUGCACGAAGGACUCAGAAGAGGCAACUGCAUGGAACGGGCCGCCCAGAGUGUUCCUUGGAGAAGCACCUGCCAGCGGAAAGCCCCGAUGACACUGGAUGGUAUAUUUAAGACCAAAGACGGCUCCCCCGGAGGGAAAAGAAGCCCAUGUGUCCUCAGGCACACUUACUUAUACCCAACGUCGCAGGAGUUCAAUUUCUCCAUGAGGAAGGACUGGAUAUCUUGGACCAGCAGGUGGCACUCGGCAGACCUGUUGCA